UACAGAGGGUGCGAGCGUUAAUCGGAAUUACUGGGCGUAAAGCGUGCGCAGGCGGCGAUGUAAGACAGUUGUGAAAUCCCCGGGCUCAACCUGGGAACUGCAUCUGUGACUGCAUCGCUGGAGUGCGGCAGAGGGGGAUGGAAUUCCGCGUGUAGCAGUGAAAUGCGUAGAUAUGCGGAGGAACACCGAUGGCGAAGGCAAUCCCCUGGGCCUGCACUGACGCUCAUGCACGAAAGCGUGGGGAGCAAACAGG
rnacentral:rRNA from 1 species